rnacentral:rRNA from 1 species
GACGAACGCUGGCGGCGUGCCUAAUACAUGCAAGUAGAACGCUGAAGGAGGAGCUUGCUUCUCUGGAUGAGUUGCGAACGGGUGAGUAACGCGUAGGUAACCUGCCUGGUAGCGGGGGAUAACUAUUGGAAACGAUAGCUAAUACCGCAUAAUAGCAGUUAUUGCAUGAUAACUGUUUGAAAGGUGCAAUUGCACCACUACCAGAUGGACCUGCGUUGUAUUAGCUAGUUGGUGGGGUAACGGCUCACCAAGGCGACGAUACAUAGCCGACCUGAGAGGGUGAUCGGCCACACUGGGACGGAGACACGGCCCAGACUCCUACGGGAGGCAGCAGUAGGGAAUCUUCGGCAAUGGACGGGAGUCUGACCGAGCAAAGCCGCGUGAGUAAAGAAGGUUUUCGGAUCGUAAAGCUCUGUUGUAAGAGAAGAACGAGUGUGAGAGUGGAAAGUUCACACUGUGACGGUAUCUUACCAGAAAGGGACGGCUAGCUACGUG